UACGUAGGGGGGCAAGCGUUUGUCCGGAAUCAUUGGGCGUAAAGAGCGUGUAGGCGGCUCGAUAAGUCUGCUGUGAAAGUCCAGGGCUCAACCCUGGAAGGCCGGUGGAAACUGUCGGGCUAGAGUCCGGAAGAGGCGAGUGGAAUUCCCGGUGUAGCGGUGAAAUGCGCAGAUAUCGGGAGGAACACCAAUGGCGAAGGCAGCUCGCUGGGACGGUACUGGACGCUGAGACGCGAAAGCGUGGGGGAGCAAACAGGG
rnacentral:rRNA from 1 species